GUCUUUGUGGUGUAGUGGUCAGCACGCUCGACGCGUAACCGAGAGGUCCGUGGUUCGAUUCCCGGCGAAGGCG
rnacentral:tRNA from 1 species